rnacentral:rRNA from 1 species
AUGCAGCGACCUGGGAUUUGUUCUCUCCCAGUAGCAGAGGUGUGGAAUGAUAAAUUACAUUGCACCAGUGAUGCAGUUAAUCAAAUCCCUGCUUCCAGUUCUGUAUGGGAUGUCAGACAUGCUAACGGGACAACUAAUCAAGCAAAGGAUUCUAAUAACUCUGCUCAUGCAGCAAUAAAUUCUCAUCAAGGGCCAGAAGAUACUAGCAGACGUAAUCAAUGUAAGAACAGAUUUAGUCCUCAGCUCACCAUCCAGAGGCGUGUGAAAAGGAAAAUUAAGAGAAACUAUACGAGCGAUAACGGCAAAGAAUACUCAACACUGGCAUGUAACCCACAAAGUUUACCAAUUAAUGCUACACCCUUGCUCAAAGUAACCAAUGGCGAUUUUUUUGAUACUGCAGAUAAGGUAGCUAAAGAAGGAACAAGUACCGGACUAACCGUAUCAGCUCAACGCUUGCUUGCCGAAAAAAGUUCACGCAUGCUAAAAUCUACACUGCAGCAUAUAGUUUCCACACGGCAUAUUGAAGAUGCAAGAGCGGAGGACUGGAGCAAAACUCUAGGUCGUGUUGUUGAAGCAGCAGAAGCUGUUGAAAUGAAGGAAUUACAUGAUGAUCUUCCAGAAUCCGAAGGUUCAACAAAACAUAUUCCAAUCAUUGUCUUGGAUGGUGAUAAUGAUGAGAGGGCCAGGGGUAAACUGCCAGAAAAUUCAAAGGUGGUUCAGGAGGAAAACAAAAGCAGAUUUAAUUUAGGGAAGAUCAACCUGAAUUCUGUCGAAUUACCUCGAGAGAGGCUUCACGGCCUGGAUGACUCAUCUGUUCAAAGGCUGACAGAUCAGGGUCAUUUUGUUACUGGACAAAAACAAGUUUCUCAACCAAUUGAAAGGCUAUUUUUUACGAAGGAGAAAGAUGAUGUACAUGGUAAAGAACAACAUCAAGAGGGAACACCAGCAUUGCAUACCUUAUACUCAAAUUUGUAUGAUCCGCCUCUGUCAAGGAAAUCAGGGAAUUCGAAGGAACCAAAGAGCAUGCCUUCAGAACUGAAAUUCAGAAUAAUGGAUAAUGCUCCUGAGUCCAGUUUAGACUGCCGCUUGGAUAGUUUCCAAUACAGUGGCAAGUCCAGUGGCAUUCAUUUGCUGACAGAAAGGAUCAACACAUACUCCUGCAAAAGACACCAGGUUCCCUGGUCGGAAGAAGAGUUAGAUUUUCUGUGGAUUGCAGUGAGGAGGUAUGGAACGAGUAACUGGAAUGCAAUGCUGAGGGAUACACGGCUACGAUUCUCAAGCUCAAGAAUGUCUGAGGAUCUUUCUGAACAAUGGAGCAAGGAGCAAAAGAAACUUCUAUCUGUGGACCUUCAAUCAAUCAGAGCAUCUGCUCUAGGUUCUACACCGCCACCCCAUAUAGCUGAAGAUUAUGCUGGAAGCAAUUCCUGCACCGGAAGCUCAAAGUCUCCAUUUCUUGCAGCCCAAUCAGACCUUUCCUUGGGCGAGGUGCACCUUCAGAAUGCUCAUGCUUUGGAUAGAGGCCAGCAUUAUUUGUCAAGCCUUGGCAGGUUUAACCUUCAUGGAGUCAACAAUGUGCCAAGAAAUUUGCCUCUGGGAGGCUUCCCUGGUUCUUCCUCACAGGGGAGAAAUGGGAGCAGGCGUAGGAAGACAACCAAGCUUGAAAAGUCAUACUAUGACAACAGGUCACACUGGUGCCAAGAACUAUCAGAGAGGACGUCGUCUAUGCUCCUUCCCAUCAAUCAACAACCAAUGAACAGCCUUUCUCAGUGGCCUACCAAGGGCGCCGACACCGGUAAAAGCUGGCUCAACCCCGAGAUGUGGUCAAGCGCAUCGCAGGCGCUAGGCCAGUCCACUGCAGAACCACUGCAUGACAACCUGAGAGCUGCCCACUUUCUGUUCCCUGACGACAAGAAACCACAUGACAUGCCAGACAUCUUUGAAGCUGGCGCUGAAGUGGAAAGCGGAGUGGCGCAGUCUAGCAAGAAGCUUUUCUGGACCAGCGGUGACACCUUGGUUCAAAACCAGAGGGCCGCUGCUAUAGCGGCAGGGCCAAGCGGCGCCAACCCGAGCGACACCGGCGCAUCGUCUGAAGGGACGGUGUCUGAUAGCUGA